rnacentral:rRNA from 1 species
UAGAGUUUGAUCCUGGCUCAGAUUGAACGCUGGCGGCAUGCCUUACACAUGCAAGUCGAACGGCAGCAUGAUCUAGCUUGCUAGAUUGAUGGCGAGUGGCGAACGGGUGAGUAAUACAUCGGAACGUGCCCUGUAGUGGGGGAUAACUAGUCGAAAGAUUAGCUAAUACCGCAUACGACCUGAGAGUGAAAGUGGGGGACCGCAAGGCCUCAUGCUAUAGGAGCGGCCGAUGUCUGAUUAGCUAGUUGGUGGGGUAAAGGCCCACCAAGGCGACGAUCAGUAGCUGGUCUGAGAGGACGAUCAGCCACACUGGGACUGAGACACGGCCCAGACUCCUACGGGAGGCAGCAGUGGGGAAUUUUGGACAAUGGGCGAAAGCCUGAUCCAGCAAUGCCGCGUGUGUGAAGAAGGCCUUCGGGUUGUAAAGCACUUUUGUCCGGAAAGAAAUGGCUCUGGUUAAUACCUGGGGUCGAUGACGGUACCGGAAGAAUAAGGACCGGCUAACUACGUGCCAGCAGCCGCGGUAAUA